UGGGGAAUAUUGCACAAUGGGCGAAAGCCUGAUGCAGCAACGCCGCGUGAGUGAUGAAGGCCUUCGGGUUGUAAAGCUCUGUCUUUUGGGACGAUAAUGACGGUACCAAAGGAGGAAGCCACGGCUAACUACGUGCCAGCAGCCGCGGUAAUACGUAGGUGGCAAGCGUUGUCCGGAUUUACUGGGCGUAAAGGAUGCGUAGGCGGAUUUUUAAGUGAGAUGUGAAAUACCCGGGCUUAACUUGGGUGCUGCAUUUCAAACUGGGAAUCUAGAGUGCGGGAGAGGAGAAUGGAAUUCCUAGUGUAGCGGUGAAAUGCGUAGAGAUUAGGAAGAACACCAGUGGCGAAGGCGAUUCUCUGGACCGUAACUGACGCUGAGGCAUGAAAGCGUGGGUAGCAAACAGGAUUAGAUACCCUGGUAGUCCACGCCGUAAACGAUGAGUACUAGGUGUAGGAGGUAUCGACCCCUUCUGUGCCGCAGUUAACACAAUCAAGUACUCCGCCUGGGAAGUACGAUCGCAAGAUUAAAACUCAAAGGAAUUGACGGGGUCAUAGCUGUUUUCCU
rnacentral:rRNA from 1 species